UACGUAGGCAGCGAGCGUUGUUCGGAAUUACUGGGCGUAAAGAGUGCGUAGGCGGUGCUCUAAGUUUGGUGUGAAAUCUCCCGGCUUAACCGGGAGGGUGCGCCGAAGACUGGAGUGCUUGAGUGUGGGAGAGGAAAGCGGAAUUCCUGGCGUAGCGGUGAAAUGCGUAGAUAUCAGGAGGAACACCUGCGGUGUAGACGGCUUCUGGACCACGACUGACGCUGAGGCACGAAAGCGUGGUAGCAACAGG
rnacentral:rRNA from 1 species